CUCGACUCAUGCGCAUAAAACUCAAAUAAUUGGAGUUCUGAGAAACUUAUACAAAUAGAAGCAGCCAGAUCUGAUUUCUAAGACAAUACAUUAAAUAUCUUUAAAUUUUGAAUAGAAAUGGUAACCAAGGAAAAUAUAUAAAGAGAUGAAGUCUUUAUUCUAAAUAUCAUAUAUACAACCACCAAGGAAUUAAAAAAGAAGUCGUACUUUAAAAUGUUAACUCAAAAUAUUAAUUACAAACCUUAAAUUUAACCUAUAUUAUAGAACAUGUAACUUUAAAAUGCUAACUUAAUCUUCUUCUUGUUCUCUUUCAAGGGUCAAACCAGUACAAUGUAUGUCAUUGGCUUAAGUAUACAAGCUUUAACCAUGUGAUAUUGUAGUCGAUUAGUCUACAAGCAUAAAAUCGAUUAAUAAAUCACACAGUAAAAAGAAAACAUAAAUCCAAGAUUUCAGGCGCUCUUUUUAAUUUUAAUGCGCCAAAUUUCACUUACAUAUUUGAAAUAGGUCUUGAAUACAUAUAGGUUUGAUAUCAUAGACCCCAUAGAGAAGAGAAACAUCGAUGUCUUUGGUUCGCUCUUACUCAUUCCAUACUCAUUUGCAUCCGUUUGAUUUUGAUUUAUACACCAUUUUUCAGUCAUGAAUCCCUCUCCUACUGUUUGUGACCAAAGAUCGGAGCAUUAUUCUUCUUAUACAGAAGGAAAUUUCAAAAAAAAAUAAAAAUAAAAAAAAUCUGAAAUGACAGAUGAAGGUUUAACCUGGAUGGAAUCUAUCAACAUAUGUGUGAAGCGUUAGAAUUUUCUGCAAGAGUGCCAAAAACUGCAAGAUUCAAAAACAAAAAUUAGAUCUGAAAGUUUACAUUUACGAUUUCAGCUCAAAACAAACCACCCCAUGAACCAAGAGACCAUAUCCAGCAUUAAUAUUUUAGCCAUUAAAGUUUAUAUAAGGAGGAGAGAAAGAAAGGGAGAAAAUGAGACAAAAAUAUGAAGAAAGGUUAUCAAAACUUAACCCGGUGAUUGGAUCCAACUUUCCUCGCAAGCUUCUUACAAACUCCAUGUUUUUGCGCAUUCCAAACCCCUCUCUGCAAAUAUGAGUGUGUUUGCCUUUUGUUUCUGCAAAAGAGAGAGAGCGAGAGAUUGAUAGAGAUCUAUGACCACUAAAAAAAUCAAAUAGUCAUAUGCGUGUUUAUAGUUUGAAGAACACUAACCGUGAAAAUUGUCAAUCUAGGUACUUCGAUUUGUAAGUGAUAUAUUCUGAUCUCAAUCCACCAGAAUUGCAGCGACAAUAGGUCAGGAUGCCGUUAACCAAAUAAUUUGGAUAUGUCGGUCUUCGGGUGAAAAAAAUAUCCACAACUGUGGUGAAGAAAAUCGGUGAUUUCAUCGCGUUAGGAUUUUCAGAAAGGAGCAUGUAGAAUUCAAAUUUUGAAUCGAGAUUUAGCGAGGAAGAAGAAGAGAGCGGCGCUUUUAGGUCUGAGAAAGAGGGAGGCAUGUAAACAAAAAAAAGGUCCAUAUCCAUAUGUGUUUCUUUAUGCUUAAUCUUUUGCACAUUGAUCUUAAAUUGUAUAUUUUAUCUUUCAUUUUGAUUGGUCAUUUUGGAUCACAUGGCUUUCCAU
rnacentral:lncRNA from 1 species